GUGAGUGUAGCUCAAGGGUAGAGUAUCGGUCUGUGGAACCGAAUGUUGGGGGUUCAAAUCCCCUCACUCACCCCA
rnacentral:tRNA from 1 species